GACGAACGCUGGCGGCGUGCUUAACACAUGCAAGUCGAACGGAAAGGCCCUGCUUUUGUGGGGUGCUCGAGUGGCGAACGGGUGAGUAACACGUGAGUAACCUGCCCUUGACUGUGGGAUAACUUCAGGAAACUGGGGCUAAUACCGGAUAGGAGCUCCUGCUGCAUGGUGGGGGUUGGAAAGUUUCGGCGGUUGGGGAUGGACUCGCGGCUUAUCAGCUUGUUGGUGGGGUAGUGGCUUACCAAGGCUUUGACGGGUAGCCGGCCUGAGAGGGUGACCGGCCACAUUGGGACUGAGAUACGGCCCAGACUCCUACGGGAGGCAGCAGUGGGGAAUAUUGCACAAUGGGCGGAAGCCUGAGGCAGCAACGCCGCGUGCGGGAUGACGGCCUUCGGGUUGUAAACCGCUUUCGCCUGUGACGAAGCGUGAGUGACGGUAAUGGGUAAAGAAGCACCGGCUAACUACGUG
rnacentral:rRNA from 1 species